rnacentral:rRNA from 1 species
GAUGAACGCUGGCGGCGUGCUUAACACAUGCAAGUCGAGCGAGUGAGUUCUUCGGAACGAUCUAGCGGCGGACGGGUGAGUAACACGUGGGCAACCUGCCUCAUAGAGGGGAAUAGCCUCCCGAAAGGGAGAUUAAUACCGCAUAAAAUUAUCGAGUGGCAUCACACGGUAAUCAAAGGAGCAAUCCGCUAUGAGAUGGGCCCGCGGCGCAUUAGCUAGUUGGUGAGGUAACGGCUCACCAAGGCGACGAUGCGUAGCCGACCUGAGAGGGUGAUCGGCCACAUUGGGACGGAGACACGGCCCAGACUCCUACGGGAGGCAGCAGUGGGGAAUAUUGCACAAUGGGGGAAACCCUGAUGCAGCAACGCCGCGUGAGUGAUGAAGGUCUUCGAAUUGUAAAGCUCUGUCUUUGGGGACGAUAAUGACGGUACCCAAGGAGGAAGCCACGGCCAACUACGUGCCAGCCGCCGCGGUAA